AAGUCGUAACAAGGUUUCCGUAGGUGAACCUGCGGAAGGAUCAUUACAGAGUUCAUGCCCCUCGGGGUAGAUCUCCCACCCGUGUGUAUCAUUAUCGACUGUUGCUUUGGCGGGCCGCGUGCCUCGCACGCCUGGACCUCCGUCCGGCGCGCCCGCCAGAGGACCCCAAACUCUGAAUGUUAGUGUCGUCUGAGUACUAUUAAAUAGUUAAAA
rnacentral:misc_RNA from 1 species